rnacentral:lncRNA from 1 species
UGGAUGCGAUUAAUACCUUAAAAAAUAGUUUUCCGGAGUGAGCACUCUCUCUUGGCUCUUCUGAUCUUCUGCCAUGUGAGGAACCUUGUUCCUCUUUUCUGGGAAAUACAGCAUUUAAAUGUGCCAUCUUGGGAGUGGAGACUGGGCCUAUGUUAGACACCAAGCCUGCCAGAAAUUUGAUCUGGGACUUCUCAGCCUUCAGAACUUUACAAUUUUGCAAGUAUAAUGAAAUGCUGUACACAUAAUGGACUAGACCCUGCUGUGUCCAAGGCUAUGCUAUGGAUAUGAAGCCCAACUAAAACAAUCUGCCUCAGCUGGGGUGUGUGAGGUAUCAAUAACCCUUGGCAGAGGUGUCAAGAGCCUUGCUGGAACUCAACUACCCUGCUGACCAGAUGCUUAGCAAGUUAACAAGACUCUGAGCAUUCACCACUUUUUCUAACACAACAAUUAACACAACUGGAAAAUCACUGCACUGAUUAUCUGAAGAAAAAAAAUCUCACCAAAGUUGCCUUUUAUGGAACAGAGGCAAAUAAUAAAUACUGGACCACACUGGGAAGAGAAUUUUGAAGUUUUAAGCUGGGCAGGUGCUAUGGCUCAAUAAACAAGAUGAGAGAAACUGAAAAGUAAAAAUCUUAUCAAAAGUAUUUUCUCAGUAUACUCAUAUACAUUUCUGAGUACAUUAAAACUAUUUCAAUCUUACCCUUACAAAUAUGAUGUUUUAUCUUUGGAAAUAACUGAGGCUAACACAUUUUCUCAUAAGAGAUCAAGACUAAAACUUGGUUUAAGAAUAGAAUCUAAAGAGCUAAAGUUUUACUAAAGUGGAUAAUAUUAGUCAGCAUCUAUAUAUAUAAGAGCAUAUUCAGAAGUUACUCAUUGAACAACAUUUAGAUAGCUAUAAAACCUGGAUAAAGCAAUCAAGUUACUUGAUUUUUUAAAACUAAUCUUUAAAAGAGUGUAUACGAAAUUGUUUUUUUUUUAACCUAAAUAUAUAUUUUGUUUUUCAAGUUAUAUCACCUUAAGGUCAUUCCCUUUCCUCUCAUUCAUAAUUCUAUUAGAUUGCAAUUAUAUACUUUUUCUGGAAAAAUAAAUAACUUACAUACUAUUCCUAGAAAAAUAUACGGUAUGCAGGAAAAUGUGAAUAUUAGCAUUAAACAAUUUAAUGUUGUCUUUGCUUUGAAAUUCAAUAAUGCCAUCAGCCUGUAAGACCUCUUAGAGCCUAGCAUUUCACACAGUGAAAGCUGCUUUCUGUUACAAAAGCACAGCAGCUGUGACUCCCGCAGAUACCCUUAAAGACAGAUAUAAUAAAACACUGGGAGGGAGUAGGUCGACACAGGAGCAUGAAAUGGACGAGAUGAAGCCCCUUUGUCACAGCCAAACAGGCUAUAAAGUUACUAUAGUAACAUACAGUAUUAAACUCCAGGUGGAUUGACUUAAUCUUCCUCAAACAAAAAAUAAAGGUUAACAAAAACCAAACCAAUAAUGAUUACAAUCACUCUACCCAAAUAUUUUUCAAGAAGUUCUUAUUUUUUGGUUUACUCUGGAUAGGUGAAGAACAGGGUACACUGGCUCAUGUUCUGAUUUGAAGAAACAACCCCAGAAGUUCAGGGUGUGGCUAAAGAAAUGCCUUUUUAAAAUAUUUGAAUACAUCCAAUGACUUGAGUUGCAAGAAAAUCAAAGUGAUGAGAGAACAAUUAGACUAUAUGGAUUCUCAAACCUAAUAUUUUUUCUAUGUUCAUCACAUUAUUGUCAAGUGGAGACAAUUUAAGUGAUAAUGCCUCUGGAUCCAGUCCUAAAUUCAUGGAAAAUUCAGCAGCCUUUUCUGAACUUUGGUUGAAGAGUUUCAGGCCCCAUCUGUUUUAAUCUACGUUUUCAGGAAGAGAAUAAUGACUUAUGACAUAAGGUAUAAUAAGUAUGAAAUAAGAACCAAGGAACUAGCCUGUGGAACAUAAGACAAAAAGUAGAAAAAACAAGGAAAUGAAAAAUCACAAAUUGAAUUCUAAUUUUUAAAUUUCAUUAAGGAAGUAUACCUAAGAGUUUAGGAGAUACAGUAAACUCUUAGAGUAUAUGUCAAGUCCUGCUUAUUCCUUCUUGUAGGUAUAGGACUUGCUAUUAUUUUGCUGUGAUAAUUGUUUUAUUUAUAAACCACUCUUGUAAGCAUAACUUCUGGAACACUUUAUUCUACCCAAACACUCUCUCUCACACACACACACAUGCACACGUGCACACAUACACAAAAUAUUAUCUGUUUUGCUUUAGUAAAUAUCCAUUUUUAUAGCUCUAUUUUCAAAUGUUGAAUUUUAUGUUUUAAAUGUAGAUGAAGACUUGCAAUGAUAAAUAAAACUUAACAUGUGCAUUUGCAUUUUGGAUUAAUCCAAUGAUCACUUAGAUUGCUCCUUUCAAAUACUGCUCUAAUGAUCUGAAAGAGUUAAGAGACUUGCUCUGAACCUUAAUUUAUGCCAUGGAGUUAGGCACCAGGGCAAGCUGGACUCAAUAAGAAUAUUUUUAGUAGGAUUUAGCUAACAGUGUGAGCCAUACCUUUAAUGGAUUUAGUUUGGGUAAACAACCUUUGUCUAGACAGUCCAAAUGUCACAGGUAUUGGUGCUCAUUUUAAGUGGUAACUUCUAUGCAAAUAAUUGCAAAGUUGCAUUUCGUUCUCUGUACUGAUAUUUUAUGAAUUAAGGUUUUUGACUGUAUCAAUAGCUGAAUGUAUACUCUUAAAUCAUAAUUUUAGUUAAAGUUGUUUUUUUUAACUGGUCACAUACUUGACAACAUGGCAAUAAUUAGGUUUCAGAUUGCACUCUCUGAGUUUUUUGAUGUGAUUGCUGAGGGCUGCUAAAGAUUUUUAGUACUAUUAGCUAUAGAAAAGAUCUGAAAAGGAAGAGUUGAUGGACAGCAGAUUUUUGGGGAAAGUACAGAGCAGAAUUAGUGUUAAAAGAUGAACAAAUACAAUCAUAGUAGGAAAGAGUAAGGAAACUUAUUUAAGUAAAGAUAUUUAUUAAUUAGACUUGUUUGAUAUAUCCAUGAAUAUAAGAAAUAUGAAAUGUUGUGAACUAGAACAGAGCUAUAUUAUUUUUUACAGGUGGAUUAAAUUUAGUCACCUUUCUUGUAUUGAUAAUUGAUAACUAAUGAUAUCUUAUAUUUUUAAUUAAAGAUCAUAUGACCUUUACCUACUUAUGCUUAGAUUCAUCCGUAAAAUAUUUGCUGUUUACCUUAUUACAUUGUUGAAGAAUCUUAAGAAAGGAGAAAGAAAAACCUCAUUCUUGAUUUGUCGAACUAUUCAAACUAAUACGUAGAUUGGGAUGUUAGAACGGCAAAUGUAAUUCGCAUCUAUCCAGAGGCCUAAAAUUUUGAGCAUUGCACAAAACUAUCCAUAGGGAUAGAUUAAUGAACUUUUAAAUUUCACUCAUGUUAUA